rnacentral:rRNA from 1 species
UACGUAGGGGGCAAGCGUUGUCCGGAUUUAUUGGGCGUAAAGAGCGUGUAGGCGGCCGCACAGGUCCGUUGUGAAAACUGGAGGCUUAACCUCCAGACGUCGAUGGAAACCGUGCGGCUAGAGUCCGGAAGAGGAGAGUGGAAUUCCUGGUGUAGCGGUGAAAUGCGCAGAUAUCAGGAGGAACACCUAUUGCGAAGGCAGCUCGCUGGGACGUAACUGACGCUGAGACGCGAAAGCGUGGGGAGCAAACAGG